rnacentral:rRNA from 1 species
UACGGAAGGCAGCAGUGGGGAAUAUUGCACAAUGGGCGCAAGCCUGAUGCAGCCAUGCCGCGUGUAUGAAAAAGGCCUUCGGGUUGUAAAGUACUUUCAGUCGUGAGGAAGGUGUUAAGGUUAAUAACCUUAGCAAUUGACGUUAGCGACAGAAGAAGCACCGGCUAACUCCGUGCCAGCAGCCGCGGUAAUACGGAGGGUGCGAGCGUUAAUCGGAAUUACUGGGCGUAAAGGGCACGCAGGCGGUUAAUUAAGUUGGAUGUGAAAUCCCCGGGCUUAACCUGGGAAUGGCAUUCAAGACUGGUUAGCUAGAGUCUUGUAGAGGGGGUAGAAUUCCAUGUGUAGCGGUGAAAUGCGUAGAGAUGUGGAGGAAUACCGGUGGCGAAGGCGGCCCCUGGACAAAGACUGACGCUCAUGUGCGAAAGCGUGGGGAGCAAACGAGGGAUAGAUACC